rnacentral:tRNA from 1 species
UGAGUUGUGGCAGAUAAAUGCAUAGGUUUUAAGAGCCUACUAUAAGAUUCUUCUACUCAU